GGAUUAGAUACCCUGGUAGUCCACGCCGUAAACGAUGCAUACUAGGUGUUGGCCGUUACGGUCAGUGCUGCAGUUAACGCAUUAAGUAUGCCACCUGGGGAGUACGUCGGCAACGAUGAAACUCAAAGGAAUUGACGGGGGCCCGCACAAGCGGUGGAGCAUGUGGCUUAAUUCGAUGCAACGCGAGGAACCUUACCUGGGCUAAAUCCGCCAUGCUACUUCUGGAAACAGGAGGUCCCUUCGGGGCGUGGUGGAAGGUGCUGCAUGGCUGUCGUCAGCUCGUGUUG
rnacentral:rRNA from 1 species